ACCUGUGAAAAUAUAUAAUACAAAACUGUAAUGUGUACCAUUCGAUUCGUUCGAUAUCAUCGAGCGUCUUCUUCGUUUUUCCUCGUCCUAUUUCUGUCAUUCUGUCCUUCGCUUAUCAAAACAGCAACAAAAAUUUAUACUCGGGCAAACGAUUUUUCCUAAAAACGACGCUAGAUCGAUAACGACGAAAUCGUUUUUAUCGACACUGAUGAUCAUAUGAUCCUAUUUCGUAUACAUUAUAAAAAUUAUUCUUACGAUCGAGAUAUAACAUUAUUAUAUACAGUAUCUGUUUGAACUUGCUUACAUUAACAAUGAUAUUAUUAUCAAUUUAUAAAUAAUAAUAAAAUCUUUAAUAUUAUUUGCCAUAUACGUCAUAUACGAAAUACGAACGUAUGAACCAAUUUUAUACGACCACCCUACAUUUUCUAAAAAUGAACGAACGAAGCCUCUUAUAUGUAAUACUUCGUAGUAUUUUUGAAUGAUCUUUAAGAUCGAUUCCUACGAUUUACGUUAGUGUUAUUCUACUGAUAACAAUGGCGACGCAAAAUAGUGCAAACGACACAUGCGACUAUUAUUGUAUGGACGAUGCGACAUUCUUGUGCUUAUGAUUAAUUACAGCAUCGGCUAAGCGAUAUCAUAAAGAAUUACGAAAGAAAUUAUUCGUGCGUAUAUGUAGCGCGAUUGAAAAGUAAAAACAUUGAAAUAAAAUGAGGAAAUAAAAUAAGAAAAAAAUAAAGAAAAGAACGAAAACGUGUGAAAUAUAUGUAUGUAGGAUAGUGAUACAAACAUGCAGUAUUAUCAAAGACCCAAUACCUAUUAAUUAUUAUAAUUAUUAUCAUCCGCUGGAAAAUAGGAAUAAGAAAGACGUAAUAUUUGGUUAUAAUUAAUAAUUUCAAGAUACACGUAUAUACUUCGCGAACCGUCUUGACUAACAACCGACUUGAGAGAUGGGUAAAGACUUACUCGACCCAGCGCCAAGGCUCAGUCUCCGGGCUGGUGAUUGGCGUAGGGAACUAAGGAGACAGAGAUAACACAGCAGUAGAGGGUUAGUUUUACAGAAACGAUUAGAUCCUUCUAUUAGUAUUAACGUAGUGCCUUGGUACCUUUAUACACUAAGGAUUAGCAGUGUAGUCCUUCUUGUUCUCAUUACACGGUUUACGUAAUAUCUUCCAACAUGAACAAAAGUUAUCAUAUUAUUAUUUAAUAAAUUCUAUAUAUCCUAGAAUUGUCUUCAAAGUGUUCCGACUUAAUAUUUCACUUAACUCUAUAGUAUGUGUAUUCUCUAUGCUGUGCUAACUCUCACCGACUAAUGCAACAUUUUCAAAGGGCAAUGGGUGAGACGGAUGAAUUUUUAAUGAAUGUUGUCAACGAUCAAUGUUGAACUUGGCUAUAUUAAGAACGUUAUUAGUAAUAAUAUAUUAUCUUUUACAAAACUAUACACAAAACUAUAUAAAAUAUUACAUAUAUUCUGUCUAGAAAAGCAUUAAUCUAACAAUGUUGUUACAUACUUCUGUGAAUAGAUAUGAAGAAAUAAAUGGUGUUUAAUGGUAACAAUAGCUUAAUAUAAACCAGCGCAGUGGCAAUGUAUAAAAGCAUCUUUUAUGACUUGAUGUGCCAUAAUUUGAUACUUAUAUCUGCAAAAAUGAAAUAUAUAAAGAAAAAUAAUCACUUGAGAAAUAAGUAAAAGCUGUGUGAAUAAUUUUGGCCUUAGCAAAUUCGGAAUGGGAUGAACUUUCAUUCAAAGGAAGUCAAUAUCACGAUAAACGAUAAAUGACGUAACGUACUGCGUCCUUAAUGCAUAGAGGUACCUGUUCGAUCACAUUAUUUUCACACACGAUGUCACAAAAGCUGUGUUGGUGUGAUUAUGUAUACCAACUGCAACUAAUAAUGGAUGCUACAAAUAUACUCUAUAUAUAAAUAAGUAAACUAUAUGCUGAAACGAUAAAAAUGCGUUCGUUCAGUCUCGUGUACACGUGUGUGUCAAAAUGUAGUAAAGUCUCUAAUCUAAAGGAUUGUUAGAACGAGGAAUGACCUUCCACCAAAGGCUAAAACUGAGAAAACAUAUAGAUGUUAUGAAUGAAAGUUAUAAACGAUAAGAUUAAACGUAUCCAAAACCGAUCGAAUUAUUUUUCAUCUUGCCGUUAUCAUGUAUUCAAAUUUAUUAGAAAAGAAGCACAAUUUACAAUACCUUUUUGCCCCACUGACGUUUUACAAUGAAUACACACCAAUUAAUAAUUUUACAAAUUUUACUGGUCAACAUUUAAAGACAUGCACAAAAAUUUAGAAAAUAUUUUUUAUCUGAAGUUAUUCACAAUUGGAUUGAAAUUCAUAUAAAUAGAAAAUCUUUGAUAUGGGUAGGAUGUGCAUCAAAUUUGGAGGCAAACAUGUAAAAAAAAAUGCAUGAAAAGCAGUACCAUUGAAUAUUAGUAAGAACAUUAAAUAAGUGAUAUUUUGAUAUCUUAAACUUCAGCUUUUAUAU